GGAUUGUAGUUCAGUGGUAGAACACUUGCCUAGUAUGUGUGAGGCCCUGGGUUCGAUCCCCAACACCA
rnacentral:tRNA from 1 species